rnacentral:rRNA from 1 species
CCUACGGGAGGCUGCAGUCGGGAAUUUUGCCCAAUGGACGAAAGUCUGAGGCAGCAACCCCGCGUGAGGGACGAAGGCCUUCGGGUCGUAAACCUCUUUUCUCAGGGAAGAUUCAAGACGGUACCUGAGGAAUAAGCCACGGCUAACUACGUGCCAGCAGCCGCGGUAAUACGUAGGUGGCGAGCGUUGUCCGGAUUUACUGGGCGUAAAGCGCGCGCAGGCGGCCGGCCAAGUCCGAUGUGAAAGACUCUGGCUCAACUGGAGAACGGCAUCGGAGACUGAUCGGCUUGAAGGCGGGAGAGGGUAGUGGAAUUCCCGGUGUAGUGGUGAAAUGCGUAGAUAUCGGGAGGAACACCAGAGGCGAAAGCGACUACCUGGCCCGUUCUUGACGCUGAGGCGCGAAAGCUAGGGGAGCAAACGGGAUUAGAUACCCCUGUAGU